rnacentral:rRNA from 1 species
UACGUAGGUGGCAAGCGUUGUCCGGAUUUACUGGGCGUAAAGAGCGCGCAGGCGGUCGUUCAAGUCGCGUGUGAAAGCCCCCGGCUCAACUGGGGAGGGUCACGCGAUACUGAUCGACUCGAAGGCAGGAGAGGGUAGUGGAAUUCCCGGUGUAGUGGUGAAAUGCGUAGAUAUCGGGAGGAACACCAGUGGCGAAGGCGACUACCUGGCCUGUUCUUACGCUGAGGCGCGAAAGCUAGGGGAGCAAACGGG